ensembl:snRNA U6 U6 spliceosomal RNA
GUGCUCGCUUCAGCAGCACAUAUACUCAGAUUGGAAGGAUGCAGAAAAGAUUAGCAUGACCCCUGUGCAAGGAUGACACGCAAAUUCAUGAAGUGUUUUUAAAAAAAUUUUU